rnacentral:rRNA from 1 species
UACGAAGGGGCUAGCGUUGCUCGGAAUUACUGGGCGUAAAGCGCACGUAGGCGGAUCUUUAAGUCAGGGUGAAAUCCCAAGGCUCAACCUUGGAAGCUGCCUUUGAUACUGGGAUCUCGAGUCCGGAAGAGGUGAGUGGAACUGCGAGUGUAGAGGUGAAAUUCGUAGAUAUUCGCAAGAACACCAGUGGCGAAGGCGGCUCACUGGUCCGGUACUGACGCGUGAGGUGCGAAAGCGUGGGAGCAAACAGG